GGCUGGGAGGACCCGCGGGCGCGCGGGGCCGCGAGACUCACCUUGCUGCUGGGAUCCAUGGCGCGCUGCGUUGGUGACUCUGGCAACGCCGGGUGCGCGGGCGGCGCUCUUGGGAUCAGGCUCUUGUUCCGGCUCCGGCUUCUGUUCCGGCCCCGAGACUCAGAUUCAGACUCGGGCUCCGACUCCGGUCGUUGUCUUCCCGCUCCCUGGCGCUCUCACUCGGGGAACACGCGACCCACGUUCCACCCGCUCGACUGUGCCGCUUCUUGCCGGCGAGCGCGCGGACGGUGGCGUUUAUAGGACCCCGCGGGCCCUCAGAUGACUACCUUACUUGAGACACAGUGAAGGGGAGGAACCCAAUCCAAAGUCCUGGCCAAAGCCCUGAGGUACCAGGGGCCGUCAAGUCCUGCUGAUUCCACCUUUUACACUGUCUCAGCCUUCUUCCUCCCCUGCUCCUGUGGUCUCACCUCCAGUCGUGGACCCUGUCACUCUCCUGCUCAGACCUCUGACAUUGUCAUGCAGGGAACAAGGCUUAAGCCUGGCCAUUGAGAUUCUUCUUCAGGACACCACUUCAUACACUCAUCCUCACCUUGCACCUCUCACGCCAGUCAUUUACGACAUCUAUAACCCUGCUCAGGUUGUUUGCUCUACUUUCACCUUGACAUGCCCAAAUGCUUCUGUCUGGGCAAGGACCCCUGGAAUGGCUCCUCCUCUGGGAAGUGUCCUUGAUUUCCCCAAGUGGGAACCUUUCUGUACUUUAUCCUUUAGUGUUUCUUAGUAUGCUGCUUGACCUUGGUUUGUCUGUCUUCCCCUAGACUGUGAGCUCCAUGAGGACAUCUGUUGCUGAGGCCCAUGGAUGCACGAGUGCAGGAAUGAACGAAUGAGCAGCUAGUCUGCCUGUUUCUAGUUUGCUUUCCCCUCCAGUCCUUCAAGCCAUAUGCUUCCAGUUCUUCCCUUAGUACCUUUUGGGCUUUGGCACUUCCCUGCUCAAAGUUUCUCAAUAGCUUCCUAUUUCCUAGCACAUCCAGUCUACUGUGGACUCGCCUUUAGCUGUGGGGCCCCACCCAGCCAUGGUCACAGGCACUACACAGGUGCCUUUUCCUUCUCCAGGCUGGCCCUGUGCUGGCCACUUCCCCAGGGACAGAGGAAUGCAAGCCUAUUGCUAGCCUCAUGGAGACCCCAGACUGGAGGGAAAGCAAGGGGGUAGACAUCAACAACAAUGCCAAGUCGAAUGUGCAGGGAUAAUACUGUGAGAGAGAGCACUUUGGGGCAGGGGUGGGGGGU